rnacentral:tRNA from 1 species
UGCCUGUUAGUAUAGUGGAGUACGUUAGCUUUUGGUGCUAAGAGAGAGUUGAUCAUAGGUAA